rfam:Macaca mulatta chromosome 6, whole genome shotgun sequence.
CCUACUGAAUUUAAGCAUAUUAGUCAGCAGAGGAAAAGAAAUUAACCAGGACUCCCUCAGCAGUAGCAAGUGAACAGGGAAGAGCCCAGUGUUGAAUCCCUGCCCCACAGUGGGGUGUGGGAAAUGGGGCAUAUUGAAGACCGACUCCCUGGCGAUGCUCACGGCGGGCCCAAGUCCUUCUGAUUGAGGCCCAGCCCAUGGACGGUGUGAUGCUGGUAGUGGUCCCCAGCGUGCCAGGCCCAGUUCUUCCCAGAGUUGGGUUGCUUGGGAAUGCAGACCAAAGUGAGUGGUAAACUCCAUCUAUGGCUAAAUACUGGCGUGAGACCAAUAGUCAACACGUACCAUAAGGGAAAGUUGAAAAGAACUUUGAAGAGAGACUUCAAGAGGGUAUGACCCACUCUGGGGAUGGUACCAAGUAGGGAGUUUGACUGGGGCAGUCAAGGCAUGUCUUACAU